ACUGUGAAACUCCAAGAGGGGAAUAGAAUUUCAGCACAUAUUCUUUCUUUGUAGAAAGCCCUGUGAAGAUCUCAGAGGACAAGAGCGUCCCAGAGAACGCAGUCCAGGAAACAAUGUCUUCCAGGAGGCAUGGAAGGGGUGAAGCUGUCUGGAACCCUGAAGCCUGUUUUUCCCCCUUAGCAGUGUGAUUAGCUGCGCACAGAAGCAGAGCCCGCAUGAGAGGCUGGAGUGAAAGGACCUGCUCUCCCCAUGACACAUGCCUAUAGUACAUGGUGACUGACAGGGCUUUAAGGAUUCCCAGUGGACUGUUAGUAGCCAGGAGGAAGGGAACAGGGAGUUGAUUUCGGGGAAUGGAGUCAGGCCACCAGUAGAUGGAUGGCAGAAGCCAGGCCAGAAAGACACAAGCGCCACGUGGUGAGCCACACGGAUUGAGAGUGACAGUAAGGCAGUCUGGGAAUUAAUGGAAUCUAAGAGAUGGGGGCUCACCUCCGAUUUGAUGAACCGCUUUGUCAGGCUUGCUUAACCUCCGUCUCAAAUCAGUGAGAUUGUAGAGUGUGCAACGGGAGCCUGUCUGAUUUUACUUCUCUUCUUGUUAGGAUGUUACGAUGCAGUCUUUGCCCUCCAGUACGGCCCCUCCCUGCUUGGCACUCCUCCCUCCCCUCCCUGCAGCCUCCUCAUUCAUUCUAAGCUCUGACAGAGAAAUGAUUUGGUUUAGGCUCAUUCUUAUUGUCUUUCUUUGAACAUGUCUGGAUUACUGAUGUCAACAAAUGUCCUCCCCGUGAAUGAGUUGCCCUGAUCAAGGACCUCCUGCGUAGAUAGAUCUGACCCAGCACUUGCAAGAUUCUGGGGAGGGGAGGCAAGCUGCGGCCCGUUAGCUGGAUCCAGAAGGUUUCCUUUGUAUGGCUGUCUAAUUCAAGGAGGAAGAAAAUGGCACCCAAGAAGAGACCAGAAUUACGCAGAGGCGGAAACUGGAUUUCUGUUCUCUAAGGAGGGUAGCAAUUCAACCCAUCAGGGUGGACCCAGUUGGGAGACACAGGAAACUGGGCAUGCGUUCUUGAAAAGACACUGCCCCGGGAAGACCCAGGGCAGAAGCACUGAGUGCAGGCACUGGAGGCAAUCUGAUUUAUUUCCCAGUUAUCUUCUAACAGAUGAAGCAGAGGGAACUCUAGAUCCAUGUUUGCUGAUUUCAAGGGUGAUGGGCUGGGUUGCUAUUUGUGCCAAACUAUGAGACUUACUACCAAAGCUGUUAUAUUUGGCUGGCAUUGUUUCCAUGCGGGGAGGCAAUGAGUGUCUUGAGGUACUCGAGGGCUGACUGGUUAUUACCCCAAUGGUGUCUGGGCCCUACAUUCCCAGCUGUCAAGGUAGCAACUGUUUGUGAGGACUCAGGGGCAGUGUCACCCAGGGAAACAGCUGGCGAGGCUACUGUGUCAGCAAGGUCAUGUACUGAGCUUGACUUUAGGCUGCCCUCACAGUCCAGCCCCACCCUGCUUAGCUCUUAAGCUCCAUUAUCAAGCCUGAACAUACUCGAAAAUCCCUCCUCCCAGAGAUGAAUCGGGUCGGUAAGUAUUAAAGGUUGCUGGAUUUCCAUGGUGCACUCUGAGAAUUUGAGAAGGCCCCAUAUGGUGGAUGUUCUUAAGAUGUCAAUUGUUGUCUCCUAUGAGAUGCAUCAAACACCACUAGGGGUAUAUGGAGAUAUUUAGAUACACAGAUAAUCUGCGGGGAAAAUUGCCUCUUACGGAGUUGACUUGGAGAAGAAAGUCUUGGGGGAAAUUCUAGUGUCUUCUGAACAGCUUUGCUGGCAGCGAUUCACAGACGGUAUCUCGGCCCUGAGGUUUUUAAAUGUAUCCCUAAGACUAGGGAAGCAUCUAAUUUGAUACGUUCAACAUCUAAGAUUCAGAGAAGUUAACGGGCUUUCUCAAGGAUCAUCACGAGUUUAGGGCCUCA